rnacentral:rRNA from 1 species
UACAGAGGGUGCAAGCGUUGCUCGGAAUCAUUGGGCGUAAAGGGUAGGUAGGUGGUCUCAUUUGUCUGGGGUGAAAGCCCAGGGCUUAACCCUGGAAGUGCCCCGGAAACGGUGAGACUGGAGUCCUGGAGAGGGUCGUGGAAUUCCCGGUGUAGCGGUGAAAUGCGUAGAGAUCGGGAGGAACACCAGAGGCGAAGGCGGCGACCUGGACAGGUACUGACGCUGAGGCACGAAGGUCAGGGGAGCAAACGGG